UACGUAGGGGGCAAGCGUUGUCCGGAUUUAUUGGGCGUAAAGAGCGUGUAGGCGGCCAUACAGGUCAGCUGUGAAAACUCGAGGCUCAACCUCGAGACGUCGGUUGAAACCGUAUGGCUAGAGUCCGGAAGAGGAGAGUGGAAUUCCCGGUGUAGCGGUGAAAUGCGCAGAUAUCGGGAAGAACACCCGUGGCGAAGGCGGCUCUCUGGGACGGUACUG
rnacentral:rRNA from 1 species